rnacentral:rRNA from 1 species
GACGAACCGUGCGAACGUUGUUCGGAAUCACUGGGCUUAAAGGGCGCGUAGGCGGUCGGCCAAGUCCGGGGUGAAAGCCCCCAGCUCAACUGGGGAAGUGCCUUGGAUACUGGUCAACUCGAGUGAGGCAGGGGUCGUGGGAACUUCCGGUGGAGCGGUGAAAUGCGUUGAUACCGGAAGGAACGCCGGUGGCGAAAGCGCACGACUGGUCCUCUUCUGACGCUGAGGCGCGAAAGCCAGGGGAGCAAACGGG